CAUGCCUAACANAUGCAAGUCGAACGGAACUUGUUGAAUGAAGUUUUCGGAUGGAUUUCAGCAAGUUUAGUGGCGGACGGGUGAGUAACGCGUGAGCAACCUGCCUUUCGAGAGGGGACAACAGUUGGAAACGACUGCUAACACCGCAUAACAUGGCGAGACCGCAUGACCUUGCCAUCAAAAAUUUAUUGGUAUGAGAUGGGCCCGCGUCUGAUUAGCUAGUUGGUGAGGUAACGGCCCACCAAGGCGACGAUCAGUAGCCGGCCUGAGAGGGUGACCGGCCACAUUGGGACUGAGACACGGCCCAAACUCCUACGGGAGGCAGCAGUGGGGAAUAUUGGACAAUGGGGGAAACCCUGAUCCAGCAACGCCGCGUGAGUGAAGAAGUAUUUCGGUAUGUAAAGCUCUAUCAGCAGGGAAGAAAAUGACGGUACCUGACUAAGAAGCCCCGGCUAACUACGUG
rnacentral:rRNA from 1 species